rnacentral:rRNA from 1 species
UGCAAGUCGAGCGGACAGAUGGGAGCUUGCUCCCUGAUGUUAGCGGCGGACGGGUGAGUAACACGUGGGUAACCUGCCUGUAAGACUGGGAUAACUCCGGGAAACCGGGGCUAAUACCGGAUGGUUGUUUGAACCGCAUGGUUCAAACAUAAAAGGUGGCUUCGGCUACCACUUACAGAUGGACCCGCGGCGCAUUAGCUAGUUGGUGAGGUAACGGCUCACCAAGGCAACGAUGCGUAGCCGACCUGAGAGGGUGAUCGGCCACACUGGGACUGAGACACGGCCCAGACUCCUACGGGAGGCAGCAGUAGGGAAUCUUCCGCAAUGGACGAAAGUCUGACGGAGCAACGCCGCGUGAGUGAUGAAGGUUUUCGGAUCGUAAAGCUCUGUUGUUAGGGAAGAACAAGUACCGUUCGAAUAGGGCGGUACCUUGACGGUACCUAACCAGAAAGCCACGGCUAACUACGUGCCAGCAGCCGCGGUAAUACGUAGGUGGCAAGCGUUGUCCGGAAUUAUUGGGCGUAAAGGGCUCGCAGGCGGUUUCUUAAGUCUGAUGUGAAAGCCCCCGGCUCAACCGGGGAGGGUCAUUGGAAACUGGGGAACUUGAGUGCAGAAGAGGAGAGUGGAAUUCCACGUGUAGCGGUGAAAUGCGUAGAGAUGUGGAGGAACACCAGUGGCGAAGGCGACUCUCUGGUCUGUAACUGACGCUGAGGAGCGAAAGCGUGGGGAGCGAACAGGAUUAGAUACCCUGGUAGUCCACGCCGUAAACGAUGAGUGCUAAGUGUUAGGGGGUUUCCGCCCCUUAGUGCUGCAGCUAACGCAUUAAGCACUCCGCC